rnacentral:rRNA from 1 species
UGGGGAAUAUUGGACAAUGGGGGAAACCCUGAUCCAGCAAUGCCGCGUGUGCGAUGAAGGCCUGCGGGUUGUAAAGCACUUUCGGUUAGGAAGAAAUACUCAAAUCUAAUACAUUUGAGGGAUGACGUUACUAACAUAAGAAGCACCGGCAAACUCUGUGCCAGCAGCCGCGGUAAUACAGAGGGUGCAAGCGUUAAUCGGAGUUACUGGGCGUAAAGGGCGUGUAGGCUGAUGUUUAAGUCGGUUGUGAAAUCCCUGGGCUUAACCUAGGAAUUGCAGUUGAUACUGAAUGUCUUGAGUAUGGUAGAGGAAAGUAGAAUUCUCGGUGUAGUGGUUAAAUACGUAGAUAUCGAGAGGAAUACCGGUGGCGAAGGCGACUUUCUGGGCCAAUACUGACGCU